GCAUAUCAAUAAGCGGAGGAAAAGAAACCAACAGGGAUUGCUCUAGUAACGGCGAGUGAAGCAGCAAUAGCUUCAAAUUUGAAAUCUGGCGUCUUCGACGUCCGAGUUGUAAUUUGUAGAGGAUGCUUCUGAGUAACCACCGACCUAAGUUCCUUGGAACAGGACGUCAUAGAGGGUGAGAAUCCCGUAUGCGGUCGGAAAGGUGCUCUAUACGUAGCUCCUUCGACGAGUCGAGUUGUUUGGGAAUGCAGCUCUAAAUGGGAGGUAAAUUUCUUCUAAAGCUAAAUAUUGGCCAGAGACCGAUAGCGCACAAGUAGAGUGAUCGAAAGAUGAAAAGCACUUUGGAAAGAGAGUUAAAAAGCACGUGAAAUUGUUAAAAGGGAAGGGAUUGCAACCAGACUUGCUCGCGGUGUUCCGCCGGUCUUCUGACCGGUCUACUCGCCGCGUUGCAGGCCAGCAUCGUCUGGUGCCGCUGGAUAAGACUUGAGGAAUGUAGCUCCCUCGGGAGUGUUAUAGCCUCUUGUGAUGCAGCGAGCGCCGGGCGAGGUCCGCGCUUCGGCUAGGAUGCUGGCGUAAUGGUCGUAAUCCGCCCGUCUUGAAACACGGACCAAGGAGUCUAACAUCUAUGCGAGUGUUCGGGUGUCAAACCCCUACGCGUAAUGAAAGUGAACGGAGGUGAGAACCGCAAGGUGCAUCAUCGACCGAUCCUGAUGUCUUCGGAUGGAUUUGAGUAAGAGCAUAGCUGUUGGGACCCGAAAGAUGGUGAACUAUGCCUGAAUAGGGUGAAGCCAGAGGAAACUCUGGUGGAGGCUCGCAGCGGUUCUGACGUGCAAAUCGAUCGUCAAAUUUGGGUAUAGGGGCGAAAGACUAAUCGAACCAUCUAGUAGCUGGUUCCUGCC
rnacentral:rRNA from 1 species